rnacentral:lncRNA from 1 species
UCUCAUCCAAGAACUAACUACGGACCUAAAACAGAUAUACAGAGGAGAAAGAGAUUGAACCUGAAAACGAAACUUUCGAUUAAACUUGUUUGGGAAUAUGACUACAACUAAUCCAAAUGCUCCAACAGAAAUGAACAAAGCAGAAAAUUAGAUCAAGAAACACGAACACGAACACCUCGAACUGACACGAUCUUGGACGACUCAAACCUUUGAACUAAAAUUGAGGAUCCGGACGAGCUUCCUUGUCAAAAUUUGAAGAUAUACUUACACCAACGAAAAUACAUAAGAAAGCAAAAUAGUUUUUUUUGACGUUUUUCCGAUUCUUUAAAUCAAACAAAGAGAAAACAUAACUGAACAUAUAUAUAUAUAUAUAUAUAUAUAUAUAUAUUGAUAUUAUGGAAUCUCAAACUAAAAGGGAUGUCCAAACUCAAGAUGAACCCUUCAGAAGAACAAAAAUAUUUUCCAAAACCCUCGAGUUUCUCUCAUUUUUUCCCGAAAAUUCUCUCCAAAAGCCUCUAAAUUCUGUCUGAAAAUCCCAAUAGACAUAGCCUUCUAGAAUCUU